rnacentral:rRNA from 1 species
GACGAACGCUGGCGGCGUGCUUAACACAUGCAAGUCGAACGAUGAAGCUAGAGCUUGCUCUGGUGGAUUAGUGGCGAACGGGUGAGUAACACGUGAGUAACCUGCCCCGAACUCUGGGAUAACUGCUGGAAACGGUAGCUAAUACUGGAUACGACCAACGAAGGCAUCUUCUGUUGGUGGAAAGAAUUUCGGUUCGGGAUGGACUCGCGGCCUAUCAGCUUGUUGGUGAGGUAACGGCUCACCAAGGCGACGACGGGUAGCCGGCCUGAGAGGGUGAUCGGCAAGACUGGUACUGAGACACGGCCCAGAAUCCUACGGGAGGCAGCAGUGGGGAAUAUUGCACAAUGGGCGCAAGCCUGAUGCAGCAACGCCGCGUGAGGGACGACGGCCUUCGGGUUGUAAACCUCUUUUAGUAGGGAAGAAGCGAAAGUGACGGUACCUGCAGAAAAAGCACCGGCUAACUACGUGCCAGCAGCCGCUGUAA